rnacentral:lncRNA from 1 species
AAAAGGUAGAUAUAGAAAAAAAUUGCCUUUGUUAUUUUCUUGUUAAUUUAAGCAAUGAACUGGAUUCUGUUGUCAUUCCCAAUAAAAUGCUACUAUACUAAAGAUGGAGUAUCCAUUUGAAAGCAUAGGCUUCAUCAUUAGGUUUCCCUUCGAAGCAAAAGGACACGACGUAUCACCAUUAGAUUCUCCAUUAAAGAAAAAAAUAAGACUAAAGAAAAUGCAUUUACAUAUGGAUUCUGAUUCAAGUAUCAUUCUUCCUCUCUCUAAUCAACUUCUCGUACUUAGCUAGCUGCUUAUAGGUUAAGCCUUGGAUUAAUAUAGCAAGCAAAAGCAAGCAGGAAAUUGUAUAGUUGGUCUACUCAAUUUUUUUAAUAAUUUAAUAGUUCAAUUGAUAAAAUAUAAUAUUUAUAAUAAUGUAUUAAGUGGAGUAACACUAUAUAGAGUUACACUUAAAAUAAGUUGAUUUUUCAUUGUAUAGAUGAAAAAGUUGAUAUAUCUAAUAUCUUUUAGGUUUGUUCUUUAUUCAUCGUAAAGAUGGUUGAAUGGUGUAAUUUUAUCAUAUUUAUAAUGAUCGGUUGUAUUUUAAAGAUUGUUCAAUAAUUUUUAUGAUUUUAAAUAAAUGUCUCUUCAAAG